rnacentral:tRNA from 1 species
GGGGAUAUAGCUUGGUGGUAGAGCAUUUGACUUGCAUGCAUAAAACCAUAGGUUCAAUCCCUACCCCUA